CACUGACGAGUUUGAUCAUGGCUCAGAACGAACGCUGGCGGCAUGCCUAACACAUGCAAGUCGAACGAACCCUUCGGGGUUAGUGGCGCACGGGUGCGUAACGCGUGGGAACCUACCAUCAGGUUCGGAAUAACAGUUAGAAAUGACUGCUAAUACCGGAUAAUGUCUUCGGACCAAAGAUUUAUCGCCUUUUGAUGGGCCCGCGUAAGAUUAGGUAGUUGGUGGGGUAAAAGCCUACCAAGCCGACGAUCUUUAGCUGGUCUGAGAGGAUGAUCAGCCACACUGGGACUGAGACACGGCCCAGACUCCUACGGGAGGCAGCAGUGGGGAAUAUUGGACAAUGGGCGAAAGCCUGAUCCAGCAAUGCCGCGUGAGUGAUGAAGGCCUUAGGGUUGUAAAGCUCUUUUACCAGGGAUGAUAAUGACAGUACCUGGAGAAUAAGCUCCGGCUAACUCCGUG
rnacentral:rRNA from 1 species